ACCUGGCUGUCUCAGUUGGUAGAGUGUGUGACUCUUGAUCUGGGGGAUAUGAGUUCAAGCCCCAUGUUGGGUA
rnacentral:tRNA from 1 species